rnacentral:rRNA from 1 species
ACGCUGGCGGCGUGCCUAACACAUGCAAGUCGAGCGAGAAGUAAAGAAAUGAAGCUUCGGUAGAUUUUCAUUAUGGAAAGCGGCGGACGGGUGAGUAACGCGUAGGCAACCUGCCCUGUACAGGGGGAUAGCCACCCGAAAAGGUGAUUAAUACCCCAUGAUGCAAGAGAUACACAUGUAUCACUUGUCAAAGAUUUAUCGGUAUGGGAUGGGCCUGCGUCUGAUUAGCUAGUUGGUAGGGUAACGGCUUACCAGGGCAACGAUCAGUAGCCGACCUGAGAGGGUGAUCGGCCACAUUGGAACUGAGACACGGUCCAAACUCCUACGGGAGGCAGCAGUGGGGAAUAUUGCACAAUGGGGGAAACCCUGAUGCAGCAACGCCGCGUGAAGGAAGAAGGCCUUCGGGUUGUAAACUUCUGUCCUAGGGGAAGAAACAAAUGACAUUACCCUUGGAGGAAGCCCCGGCUAACUACGUGCCAGCAGCCGCGGUAAUACGUAGGGGGCGAGCGUUAUCCGGAAUUAUUGGGCGUAAAGAGUGCGUAGGUGGCAUCUUAAGCGCAGGGUUUAAGGCAAUGGCUCAACCAUUGUUCGCCUUGCGAACUGGGGUGCUUGAGUGCAGGAGGGGAAAGUGGAAUUCCUAGUGUAGCAGUGAAAUGCGUAGAUAUUAGGAGGAACACCAGUGGCGAAGGCGACUUUCUGGACUGUUACUGACACUGAGGCACGAAAGCGUGGGGAGCAAACAGGAUUAGAUACCCUGGUAGUCCACGCCGUAAACGAUGAGCACUAGGUGUCGGGGUCGCAAGACUUCGGUGCCGCAGUUAACGCAUUAAGUGCUCCGCCUGGGGAGUACGCACGCAAGUGUAAAACUCAAAGGAAUUGACGGGGACCCGCACAAGCAGCGGAGCAUGU